rnacentral:lncRNA from 1 species
UGGUGGAUUGCACAUUGAAAUGACUUGUUAUAAAACUCUGGGUGAUAUAUUGCGUGAUAGGGGAUGGACAUGUUGUCUUACUGAAGCCAAUAUUGCAACACCAAGAACGGCAGAUUCUUUUUAUGUAUGUUCAAAUGUACCUAGGACUAGACAGGCGCAUCAGAUAACUGCAUGUUUUUUGCUUGAACUUUUAAUUUCGGAUUAUGAAAGCUAAACUCAGAAUAUAUAAUAAUGUCAUGACUCUGUGACGUUCAAUGAUUUAAAAGACUGGUGUAUAGAGUCAUCUCGACCACAGUUUCAUUCCUGGCGUUCAAUUAUAAAUUAAGAACUUCUUCUGAUUUUGGUAUUAUGCUCAUUUCAUGAGUGAGAUUUC